UUGUUGGUAAGGUAAAAGCUUACCAAGGCUUCGAUCAGUAGCUGGUCUGAGAGGACGGCCAGCCACACUGGGACUGAGACACGGCCCAGACUCCUACGGGAGGCAGCAGUGGGGAAUUUUGGACAAUGGGGGCAACCCUGAUCCAGCCAUGCCGCGUGAGUGAAGAAGGCCUUCGGGUUGUAAAGCUCUUUCAGCCGGAACGAAACGGUUACGGUUAAUACCCGUGAUUACUGACGGUACCGGAAGAAGAAGCACCGGCUAACUACGUGCCAGCAGCCGCGGUAAUACGUAGGGUGCGAGCGUUAAUCGGAAUUACUGGGCGUAAAGCGUGCGCAGGUGGUUUUGUAAGUCAGAUGUGAAAGCCCCGGGCUCAACCUGGGAACUGCGUUUGAAACUACAAGACUAGAGUGUGGCAGAGGGGGGUGGAAUUCCGCGUGUAGCAGUGAAAUGCGUAGAGAUGUGGAGGAACACCGAUGGCGAAGGCAGCCCCCUGGGUCAACACUGACGCUCAGGCACGAAAGCAUAGGGGAGCAAACAGGAUUAGAUACCCUGGUAGUCCAUGCCCUAAACGAUGUCAACUAGUUGUCGGGCCUUUACGGGCUUGGUAACGUAGCUAACGCGUGAAGUUGACCGCCUGGGGAGUACGAUCGCAAGAUUAAAACUCAAAUGAAUUGACGGGGACCCGCACAAGCGGUGGAUUAUGUGGAUUAAUUCGAUGCAACGCGAAAAACCUUACCUACCCUUGACAUGUAUCGAAGCCCGCAGAAAAGCGGGGGUGCCCGAAAGGGAACGAUAACACAGGUGCUGCAUGGCUGUCGUCAGCUCGUGUCGUGAGAUGUUGGGUUAAGUCCCGCAACGAGCGCAACCCUUGUCAUUAAUUGCCAUCAUUUAGUUGGGCACUUUAAUGAGACUGCCGG
rnacentral:rRNA from 1 species